UUCGGGAACUGUGAGACAGGUGCUGCAUGGCUGUCGUCAGCUCGUGUUGUGAAAUGUUGGGUUAAGUCCCGCAACGAGCGCAACCCUUAUCCUUUGUUGCCAGCGGUCCGGCCGGGGAACUCAAAGGAGACUGCCAGUGAUAAACUGGAGGAAGGGUGGGGAUGACGUCAAGUCAUCAUGGCCCUUACGACCAGGGCUACACACGUGGCUACAAUGGCGCAUACAAAGAGAAGCGACCUCGCGAGAGCAAGCGGACCUCAUAAAGUGCGUCGUAGUCCGGAUUGGAGUCUGCAACUCGACUCCAUGAAGUCGGAAUCGCUAGUAAUCGUGGAUCAGAAUGCCACGGUGAAUACGUUCCCGGGCCUUGUACACACCGCCCGUCACACCAUGGGAGUGGGUUGCAAAAGAAGUAGGUAGCUUAACCUUCGGGAGGGCGCUUACCACUUUGUGAUUCAUGACUGGGGUGAAGUCGUAACAAGGUAACCGUAGGGGAACCUGCGGUUGGAUCACCUCCUUACCUUAAAGAA
rnacentral:rRNA from 1 species